rnacentral:sRNA from 12 species
GCACCGGAANGAAGCUAUACCGCAGUGUUUCUUUACCGGACAUCGAAGGAGAGCGACCCCAGAUGUACGGACGGUGU